UACGUAGGGUGCAAGCGUUGUCCGGAAUUAUUGGGCGUAAAGAGCGUGUAGGCGGCCAAGCAGGUCCGCUGUGAAAACUCGAGGCUCAACCUCGAGACGUCGGUGGAAACCGUUUGGCUAGAGUCCGGAAGAGGAGAGUGGAAUUCCCGGUGUAGCGGUGAAAUGCGCAGAUAUCGGGAAGAACACCCGUGGCGAAGGCGGCUCUCUGGGCCUGUACUGACGCUGAGGAGCGAAAGCGUGGGGAGCGAACAGG
rnacentral:rRNA from 1 species